rnacentral:rRNA from 1 species
AACGAACGCUGGCGGCAGGCUUAAUACAUGCAAGUCGAACAAGAAACCGGAGCUUGCUCCGGCGGAAAGUGGCAGACGGGUGAGUAACGCGUGGCAACCUACCUUUCGGUACGGAACAACAGUUAGAAAUGACUGCUAAUACCGUAUACGCCCUCCGGGGGAAAGAUUUAUCGCCGAUGGAUGGGGCCGCGUUAGAUUAGCUAGUUGGUGAGGUAAAAGCUCACCAAGGCGACGAUCUAUAGCUGGUCUGAGAGGAUGAUCAGCCACACUGGGACUGAGACACGGCCCAGACUCCUACGGGAGGCAGCAGUAGGGAAUAUUGGACAAUGGGGGCAACCCUGAUCCAGCCAUGCCGCGUGAAUGAUGAAGGCCUUAGGGUUGUAAAAUUCUUUCGCUAGGGAAGAUAAUGACUGUACCUAGUAAAGAAGCCCCGGCUAACUCCG